GAAGGAUACUAAAAAUGAAAAGCCAGGCUGCAAACCCCAGGGGAGAAACAUGACAAGGAAAGAGCCUGCAGAGAACAGUGCCUUUGCAUGUACAGGUCUGUCUGCAGGAACAUUCUGCUGACUUCUGUCCAUCCCUUUUCACUCAGCUUUCGUCAAUCCAACUGAUUUUCAGUCCACAGACCCCAAGCCUGCAGGAAGCUCUUCAGAGACUAAGUAAGCCCUUGUAGCAAGCCUGAAAAGGUAAAUGUAAUUACGGAUGCCUAUCAUAAUGUGACCAAAAGCAACCUUAUAACAUUUAGCAAGCUGGAAAUAAUAUUGUGUAUCUUCUUUGCUAUUAUAAAAAAUGCACCUUCAUGGAUUUCUUUUUUACUGCAAAGGAAAAGGAAAUGAAAAGAUAAUUUAUGAAUAGCAUUGAA
rnacentral:lncRNA from 1 species